UACGGGGGGGUGCGAGCGUUGUCCGGAAUCACUGGGCGUAAGGGCGCGUAGGUGGUCUGAUAAGGGUGUGGUGAAAGUCCGGGGCUCAACCCCGGAUCUGCCGUGCCGACUGUCAGACUCGAGGGACUGUAGAGGCAGGCGGAAUUCCGGGUGUAGCGGUGGAAUGCGUAGAGAUCCGGAGGAAGACCGGUGGCGAAGGCGGCCUGCUGGGCAGUUUCUGACACUGAGGCGCGACAGCGUGGGGAGCAAACAGG
rnacentral:rRNA from 1 species